AAGCUCAGACUUACAGAAACUGAAACGUUUUCGCGAUUAAAAUAUAAAUGAUAAUACUUUUGCAUUAAAAAUUGGGGUACACGUUUCUGAUGACAUUAUCUUUAACCCAGUCAGUUAUUGCAAUUUUCUAAUAUUCUGUUAUAAGUCUGUGGUUAUUAUUUUCUUCCAGAUGGAGACACAUCCUGAUAAAGUUGUGUUCCAUGUAAGGACAGCCAGUCUACGUUUUUGCAUAUACAUUCACUGGGAUCGAUGUUUAACUCCUUACGUAUUUAGGGCAACGAUUCUGGUCAAUUGAAACCCAAGAACACUUAU